UACAGAGGUCUCAAGCGUUGUUCGGAUUCAUUGGGCGUAAAGGGUGCGUAGGCGGCGCGGUAAGUCGGGUGUGAAAUCUCGGAGCUUAACUCCGAAACUGCAUUCGAUACUGCCGUGCUUGAGGACUGGAGAGGAGACUGGAAUUUACGGUGUAGCGGUGAAAUGCGUAGAUAUCGUAAGGAAGACCAGUGGCGAAGGCGGGUCUCUGGACAGUUCCUGACGUGAGGCACGAAGGCCAGGGGGAGCAAACGGG
rnacentral:rRNA from 1 species